CGGCGGACGGGUGAGUAACGCGUGGGUAACCUGCCUCCAUACAGGGGGAUAACAGUUGGAAACGGCUGCUAAUACCGCAUAAGCGCACAGUGCCGCAUGGUACGGUGUGAAAAACUCCGGUGGUAUGAGAUGGACCCGCGUCUGAUUAGGUAGUUGGUGGGGUAACGGCCUACCAAGCCGACGAUCAGUAGCCGACCUGAGAGGGUGACCGGCCACAUUGGGACUGAGACACGGCCCAA
rnacentral:rRNA from 1 species